AAUCCAUGCAUCAGACACUUACGCAGUAAAUCCUUGAAAUGUUCUCAUGCUUCGUACAAGUUCUCAUCUUCCAACUGCUUAAAUGAUGUUAUUUAAUUCCUAAGCUU